GCCUGGGUGGCUCAGUUGGUUGAGCGUCUGACUUCAGCUCAGGUCAUGAUCUUGUGAUUUGUGACUUUGAGCCCCACAUCAGGCU
rnacentral:tRNA from 1 species